GAUGAACGCUAGCGGCAGGCCUAACACAUGCAAGUCGAGGGGCAGCAUAGAAAUUGCUUCGGUAGUUUUUGAUGGCGACCGGCGGACGGGUGCGUAACGCGUAUGCAACCUACCCUUUACAGGGGGAUAACGGAGGGAAACUUCCACUAAUACCCCAUAACAUCAUUUCCGGCAUCGGUUAUGGUUAAAAACUCCGGUGGUAAAGGAUGGGCAUGCGUUGUAUUAGGUAGUUGGUGGGGUAACGGCUCACCAAGCCAACGAUACAUAGGGGGACUGAGAGGUUAGCCCCCCACACUGGUACUGAGACACGGACCAGACUCCUACGGGAGGCAGCAGUGAGGAAUAUUGGUCAAUGGACGCAAGUCUGAACCAGCCAUGCCGCGUGCAGGAAGACGGCUCUAUGAGUUGUAAACUGCUUUUAUACAGGGAUAAACCCCGUUACGAGUAACGGGUUGAAGGUACUGUAAGAAUAAGGACCGGCUAACUCCGUGCCAGCAGCCGCAGUAACAC
rnacentral:rRNA from 1 species